rnacentral:rRNA from 1 species
GAUGAACGCUGGCGGCGUGCCUAAUACAUGCAAGUCGAGCGAACAGACGAGGAGCUUGCUCCUCUGACGUUAGCGGCGGACGGGUGAGUAACACGUGGAUAACCUACCUAUAAGACUGGGAUAACUUCGGGAAACCGGAGCUAAUACCGGAUAAUAUAUUGAACCGCAUGGUUCAAUAGUUAAAGACGGUUUUGCUGUCACUUAUAGAUGGAUCCGCGCCGCAUUAGCUAGUUGGUAAGGUAACGGCUUACCAAGGCAACGAUGCGUAGCCGACCUGAGAGGAUGAUCGGCCACACUGGAACUGAGACACGGUCCAGACUCCUACGGGAGGCAGCAGUAGGGAAUCUUCCGCAAUGGGCGAAAGCCUGACGGAGCAACGCCGCGUGAGUGAUGAAGGUCUUCGGAUCGUAAAACUCUGUUAUUAGGGAAGAACAAAUGUGUAAGUAACUAUGCACGUCUUGACGGUACCUAAUCAGAAAGCCACGGCUAACUACGUG